rnacentral:misc_RNA from 1 species
CAGUACUCCCAGAGCCCUUACAAACUCUGUAAACCAGAGUUCCCAGUGCGGGUCGUCAUACUUGCACGUCUUGCAGCUUUGUCUGCCUAGGGCGGAGCGACUCUAGUUCCGUCAUGUUGUGCAUAUUACGCGCAACGAUAAAUAUUGCAGCUUUGUCUGCCUACGUCGGAGCGACUCUAGUUCCGUCAUACUGAAAUUGUUAUUUGAUUUGAAAACGCGCAAGUCUUCGGGCUUGUGCAUAUUGCAGCUUUGUCUGCCUACGUCGGAGCGACUCUAGUUCCGUCAUACCGAAAUUGUUAUUUGAUUUGGAAACGCGCAGGUCUUCGGGCUUGUGCAUAUUGCAGCUUUGUCUGCCUACGUCGGAGCGACUCUAGUUCCGUCAUACUCAGGCUAUACCUGGUGUACGUAUGGAGUACGUAUACCUACGUAUAGUCGACAUUUUGGCAGGGUGCCUACCUGUCUGAUGCUUGCGGUGUGCUUGCUUCGGCCAGUCCACAUUGUGAGUGACGGGAUGUGCUGUCGGAAUGGACAGUGCUAGGCUUAAUGAGUGGGCAUGUGUACCCAGCUACGGCUCACCCACCGCCCUGAUGUUGUUGUUUUCAACCCAUUUUACACUGUUUAAGUAAUUCAGGCUGGUUUUGCUGGCUUGUCUUACUGCCCCGACAUGCACCUGGUGUUUUACACUGGACUGCAUGUGCAGUCGCCUGGCGGUGCCUUAUCCCAGGUACGACUGAUAAUGCAUCGAUCUUCUGGUUUACCAGUUGGUCGAGGUGAGUA